rnacentral:rRNA from 1 species
AUUGAACGCUGGCGGCAUGCUUUACACAUGCGAGUCGAACGGCAGCGCGGGCUUCGGCCUGGCGGCGAGUGGCGAACGGGUGAGUAAUGCAUCGGAACGUACCCAGUAGUGGGGGAUAGCCCGGCGAAAGCCGGAUUAAUACCGCAUACGACCUGAGGGUGAAAGCGGGGGACCGAAAGGCCUCGCGCUAUUGGAGCGGCCGAUGUCGGAUUAGCUAGUUGGUGGGGUAAAGGCUUACCAAGGCGACGAUCCGUAGCUGGUCUGAGAGGACGACCAGCCACACUGGGACUGAGACACGGCCCAGACUCCUACGGGAGGCAGCAGUGGGGAAUUUUGGACAAUGGGGGCAACCCUGAUCCAGCCAUGCCGCGUGCGGGAAGAAGGCCUUCGGGUUGUAAACCGCUUUUGUUCGGGAAGAAAUCCUCUGGGCUAAUACCCCGGGGGGAUGACGGUACCGGAAGAAUAAGCACCGGCUAACUACGUG